CCCUAGGAUGCGAGCGAUCUCUCUCUCUGCCUUGCAUUCACCACUUGGCUUAUGCCUUACAACACCUUGUGUCCCUUCUCCUCCUCGCUUCCAUUUUAAAUUGACACUGCGCACUGUACACUGCCCCGAGCAUCUAGGAUCUCUACUCGUUCGUAUCUACAUAUACAAACAAUCCGUUAAUAAUUGCUCCAAUGGCCAGCGGGCGUCUUGACCAACUGUCUAUAUCACCGAUAACGCACCUACCACAUUCCUUUCAUUCAUACAUUUUUUCGCAACACUUAACUUGCCAUGCUAAUUCUACCAUUUGCCAUAUGCAAUUAUAAUACUGUAG
rnacentral:sRNA from 1 species